rnacentral:tRNA from 1 species
UGUAGAGUGGAGUAAUGGUUAACUCAAUAGGCUCAUGAUCUGUAAAUGAAGGUUCAAGUCCUUCCUCUACAC